rnacentral:misc_RNA from 1 species
GAACUCAGUACAACAUCAUUUUGCUGUUGACGCCAGAGAUAGUGGGGCAGUUUUUGUUCAAGACUGUUAUGCCUGCUAGUCGAGCAGCCAAUGCGACGAUCGGGUGGCUGCCGGCAAGACGACCUGGAACGGGGAAGGCCUUCACUGAAUGAAUAAUUCAAAAGGGCUAAUCCCGUGGCGAGCUUGCACAGGGCGACCUGUGCGAAGCCGUCGUAACGCACGGAAAGGCGUCGGUCGACUGCUGGUUUUGUGUAACAACAAAAGUUUGCAGCCGGCUUAAGGGACGUGCUAAACCCAUCCGAUGAUAAAGGAUGCCCCGGACACUAGGUCCCGAUCACCGAAGGUCCGGCGGGGGUGGAUGGGCGACUGGAGGAAAUGCCAGACUCGCUCGAGCGCCCGGUAUCAAUUG